GCCUGGGUGGCUCAGUCAGUUGAGCAUCUGACUUUGGCUCAGGUCACAAUCUCAAGUUUGUGAGUUCGAGCCCCUCAUCGGGCU
rnacentral:tRNA from 1 species